UUUGGUGUUGGUCUUAUUUUAAUUAAGAGAUUAAUAUAAAACAGAAAAGCUGUCAAGGGUCCAUAAAACUAAUGUGGCUACAGAAAUAAAACCCAAUACGAAGCGCUGUACGCCGCCGGUUAAGGCGCCGUACUGAAAGGGGGUGAUAAGUGGCGCAGAGAUAAUGUUUUGGAUGAGACAUUUUAGCUAUUAAGAUGAGCUUUCCAGGGGGAAGCUUUUUAAGGAGGGUUUUGAUGAUGGAUGAUUGAUUGGUGGACGUGCGUGGCAGAGAGAAAUUAGUAAUUGAGACAGAUAGGAUGUGGGUUUUCAGUCUGCUGAAUUUUGAUUUGACUAUUCAGGACUCGUUAACAAAUUUCCAAAGAUACUGAAUGAGUCCAUUAUGGAUAAUAUCUGCUGUAUAAAAGCCUAGCUUGGGCCUGCAUAUCCAUCGGGAGUGGGCUUUAAAACAGAAAGCUCAAGAGUUUGCUGGGUUCGAUGAGAAUCGAGUAUUCAGGUCUUGGGCUCUUAUUAUUAUUUCUUUCUCUUUUGGGCUUUUGUGCAAAGAAUUGCAAUUAAAAAAAAAAAAUCAACGUGAAUCAAACUUGGAGAACAUAACCAAGGAGACAGAGAGUAGCUGGGUACCACGCAAGCGAGAAACUUGAGAUGAUGAUCAUGAUGGCGCCGGAGUGAGUCUGCUUCAUAUUCAUUCAAAUGCUGUUAUGUGAUGGCUUGCAGGUUCCUUUUCCACAUUCAGCUUUUCUGGAAAUACCAUCAGCAAGAGCAAAAAUUAAAAUAAAAACAAUGAAUAUCAAAGGAGAAGAGAUGGACCUCAAACCUUAAAACCUAUCAAGGCAUUGGCAAAUGAAAAUGAACAAAAACAAAGAAGGGUUCCCAAGAGAAGCAGCGCAACGAGAGCUAGCCUAAGCCAUCUCUGAAAACACACAGAGAGAGAUGGUGAGUGAAGUAGAUGCAUUUCUAAGAAUUUUGGAGGUGCUGGAUAUUGAAACUGGGGAAUGAUAGUAUCCUUUAAAAAUGGAAACUUUCUUCUGCGGGAUUUGGAUGUGGCAGUUAAAAAGGUUAACGUCACGUGUCUUCGAAACUCGCGCAUUGUUUGAACUUUGGUUUUCAU
rnacentral:lncRNA from 1 species